rnacentral:misc_RNA from 1 species
GAUGAAGAACGCAGCGAAAUGCGAUAAGUAGUGUGAAUUGCAGAAUUCAGUGAAUCAUCGAAUCUUUGAACGCACAUUGCGCCCCUUGGUAUCCCGAGGGGCAUGCCUGUUCGAGCGUCAUUAUAACCCCUCAAGCUCAGCUUGGUGUUGGGGCCUGCUGCACUGGCAGCCCUUAAAAUCAGUGGCGGCGCCAUCUGGCUCUAAGCGUAGUAAUUCUUCUCGCUAUGGAGUCCUGGUGGAUGCUUGCCAUCAACCCCCAAUUUUUCUAUGGUUGACCUCGGAUCAGGUAGGGAUACCCGCUGAACUUAAGCAUAUCAAUAAGCGGAGGA